rnacentral:rRNA from 1 species
UACGGAGGGUGCAAGCGUUAUCCGGAUUCACUGGGUUUAAAGGGUGCGUAGGUGGGCAGGUAAGUCAGUGGUGAAAUCUCCGGGCUUAACCUGGAAACUGCCAUUGAUACUAUCUGUCUUGAAUACCGUGGAGGUGAGCGGAAUAUGUCAUGUAGCGGUGAAAUGCUUAGAUAUGACAUAGAACACCAAUUGCGAAGGCAGCUCACUACGCGAAUAUUGACACUGAGGCACGAAAGCGUGGGGAUCAAACAGG